rnacentral:rRNA from 1 species
CACGUAGGGGGCAAGCGUUAUCCGGACUUACUGGGUGUAAAGGGGGCGCAGACGGCGAUGCAAGCCAGGAGUGAAAGCCCGGGGCCCAACCCCGGGACUGCUCUUGGAACUGCGUGGCUGGAGUGCAGGAGGGGCAGGCGGAAUUCCUGGUGUAGCGGUGAAAUGCGUAGAUAUCAGGAGGAACACCGGUGGCGAAGGCGGCCUGCUGGACUGCAACUGACGUUGAGGCCCGAAAGCGUGGGGAGCAAACAGG